CUCGUCCCACCAGGGAGGCGCAUCUACGUGGGCUGAGCCCGCUGCGGUCCCUUAAAAUAAAGUCCACAUAAAUCCAAGUGAAGACACCACUUCCUGAAGUGAGUAAGCUUGACUAUUCUUCCUGCCCCCAGGGACUUUCAAACGGCAUUGAAAAUGAGAAUCAUCUGUCUCAAAAAUGUUUCCUUGUCAAGUUAAUUGAAUGGCGAAGGCUAGCGAUGGGGCAAUGCCCAAUCGUGUCUUCGGCUCCCGUUUUAGCACAAGCCAAAGGGCUUCUCGGAACAACACCAGGAUUUGUGUAGUGUCCGUGUCUUCAAGUCAUGCUCUGCUUUUCACUGUUCUUUUUAAGGCAUAGAAAUAAGGGUCACAGCCAAGCCUCCAGGAGCUGUGGUGGGUGGGAAGGAGGCAGUGGAGAUGCCGGCAGGUAAACAGGAGACGGCAAAAUUCAGUUUCAGGCUGUGCUCGACCUUGCAGAGAAACCUGGGUUUGCCUCUCACUGGUUGGUGUCCUUGGGUAAGCUGUCUAAUGGCUCUGCCACAACCCCUGUCCCACGCGGUCACACAGGGCCCCGCGAUCCGAAGGGCUCGUGCUCGGUUUAACGCUCUGCUGUCAUCGUCUUGAAAUUCUUAAUAAUUUUUGAACAAGAGCACUGCAUUUUCAUUUUGCAGUGGGCCCUGUAAAUCACGUGGCCAAAUCCUGCUCUCUGAGCUCAAUUUUCACAUGUGUGAAAUGGCAGGAACGACACCGUCCCUCUGCAGGACCACCGUGACAUUCCAGACCAGUCCAGCGGCUGGCAGCCUGCAAUGCUGCCAGUACCUGCCUGGCCAUGCCAGGAGCUCAAGUGACCAUGGCUGCAGUCAUUUUCAGGACCCAUCUCAGAAGGAAGUCUUUAACUACAGGCCUGAGACCAUGACUCGAAGCUUCCGGAACCUUUGAAAUUCUCACUGUUUAUUAUUUUUGUUACUCCCAUCUGUUUCCUGCAGCAAUGAACUCUUUAAAUGGAAAGGCUGUGAACUUGCGUGGGGGGUGGGGAGCUGCGCAGGGCAGGGGCUGGUGGGAGGCUCCACCCCUUGGGCAGCCUGGCUGGGGAGGAGAGUCCCCGGGGAGAAGUGGCAGAGCUGAGAAAACAGACCAGGUCCCCAGAGCUUCCGCAAGGGAGGAAGGAAGAAAUGGCUUCUCUCUCACAGUUCACCCAGUUAGGAUUUCCAAACAGUAACAGAAAAAGUGGAGUUACAGCUGGAACUAAGGGACGUGCAUGAGCCCACAGCCCAUCUCGUCCCUCCCUCCACACGCUGUGAGCUUCUGUAGCUAAAGAGCUUCUAAGAGCCAUGGGGUCACCCUGCCCCACCUCAGCAGGUGCACCUCAGCCAGUUCCAAUGGGGCAGGAGUGAUGAGCGGCUUUGUCUCCUCCAUCACUUCUACCCCUGCAGGUGUCCAGGGCCCUAACCCACCCCUACAGUUUACACAUGUCCUGAGACACUGAAAUGGGAGCAUCCACAUAGGAUAAACACUAGGCGACAGGCAAGCCCUCAGACACUAUUGGAGGUGCCCCUCUGGGCCAGUGUGCUGGCCACCCCAAAAGGAGGUCCUCACCUGCCAUCCACAGGAAGGACACCCACGUAGCUCCUGUGGGGAUGGUGUGCAGUGACCACAAGAAGAGACUGCAGAUGUGAAGGUGCUGACUGAGCUCCCUUGGCACCCCUGGCCGAUGACAGAAGAGCUCCCUCCACGGGGAGCCGGGUGGUUCUGGAAGCUGAGUCCGCUUGUGCCCACGUGGCCCUGCCUCCCCUCCAUCUCUCUCCUUUCCCCCAGCCAGGGGAAUCCUUUCCAUCUGCAGGUGCAGAAGUUUCCCUCUUCCCCGACUCUCCUCCCACAUCCAUUAUUUAUGCCUCAGUCCCUCUCAUCCCCCUGAGGCCAAAGGUUUUGAAACUCCAGAGCCGAGAGCUGACAGUCUGUCUUCUGAGUUUCUGUUGACUCAUCGCCUUGGGGAUGCACAGCUGGCAGAAUGGAGGAGGGGGCAAGGUGGGAACACCAGGAGCAAAAACAUGUAUCAUCCCACCACACGCUCUCAAAUAGUUAUGUCAAGACUUGUGAUGAUGAUUUGUGUUUAUUUGUUUCACGAAAGUAGAGCUAUGCCCGUGGGUGUGGGUCAGAUGCUGGAGGAGGGAGUAGCACCCUGCUUUGUGCCCCAAGACAUCCAGCUAUCAAAGGGGAUGCUGGGAGAAAUGCAGAGCCCAGCAUGGCCUGGGUUGGGACGGAUGUCUCCACACUGAGACUGAGCAAGCCACUCAGCCCACUGCCCCGUCCAUCUCCUCUCUGAGGCCUCCGCCAUGAGGGAAGUCACUUUACCCACGAGACAGUGUGGUGGUCCCAGAGUCUGUGAUGGAGACCAUGGGAAUUGGUAGGGUUUCUGAUGCGCAACAAGGAAGCCCACCUAUGGAAGUUAGAUGUGCUUUCAGCCUGAGCUUCUUUUGAAUGGGAGCGUUAUUUACUCAAUAAAUCUUAAUAACUCCAUCAAUUACCAUAGAAAUAUUUUGGAAACAUCUUCACCCAGUUGGGAAAGGCUCCUAACCAGGUGACAGGGGAAUUCUUCUCUUUCCCCAUCAGCGAGUGGGACCGGCCACUGAGAGUUCACGGUGGUCCAGAGUCUUGGUGAAAAUAACUCUGAGAUCAGCAGACCAAGACAAUCCUGAGAAUCAAGAAGCUUCUAGGGACCAAUCUGGAAAAUAGAGCACCUCGUCCUGAUCUGGAAGACAUUUCCAUCCACAGCUCUGCAAAAGGGCACCUUCCUUAGUCAUUUCAUCCCAAUUUGGCUCCUUUUAACAAAUGCAUUUUCAAGUUCAGAGCUGGAAUGGGCCCCUGGAGGCUUCUGAGGCCUGGAGAACAGGAGAGAACUAAGUACAGAGAGAUGGAACUGGAGCCACUGUCUCAGAGCCCACUGGAACCCCAGCCAAAGGUUGGCCCUGCGCACAAGACCAAAUCACAGAAUUUCUCUGCUGAAUUCGCCCCAAGGUUAAUAGCACUUUUUGUGUUCCUCCCAAGUCCCUACAUGGCGCAGGGGGAGAAUCCCACCACAAAUCAGUCAGCUGAUCUUGGGUACAUUUUAUAGUCCUCGGAAUCUACAUCUCCAGCCAUAAAAUGGAAAUCAUUGUAUUUAUCCUCCCUCAUAAUACAGCGAGUCCCUCCUAUCGGAUAGUUGGCUAUCUGAGCACAGGGACCAUGUUGUAUUCAUUUUCCACAGAGCCCAGUAGAGGUACCUAUUAGUAACAACAACCACAACAGCAGCAAUAAUAAUAAUAAAGUAUCCUCUAUUGAAGACCUACUAUGUGCCCGGGACUCUGCUAAUCAUGGGUCAUACAUUAUCUCAUUGAAUCCUUAUAACACACUUCGGUUUGGUAUGGUUAUUAGCCCCAUUUUACAGAUGAGGAAGCUGAAGGUCAGAGAGUGGAAGUCUAACCUACUCAAUUUUUAAUACUUGAUCCUGGCUCCUUUGCCCUCCCUUCUCUCCCCUCCCCAACCCUUCUCCCUCUAGCAAAAAAGAACAAUAAUCUGGUGUAUGAAAAGACUUUUCAUAAACGUAAACUCAAAUAAAUUGUGUCUGGAGCAUCUGUGGCUCUCUCUCCUUUCCAAGGAUCAUUGGCCAUUCAUUUAUUCAGGAAACAAUUACUGCAAGUCUCCUCUGCACAGGCUGAGGAUAAAAUAACGAGCUAAAAUGAUCAUCCUCCAGCCCUCGGGAACUUACAGUCUAGGAAUAUUGUCUGACGUGCUGGGCAUCUCUGUAAGCAAAAGGUAGUCUCCGUCUUACCCAUCCCUGCCCAGGUUUUAUUCAUUCAUUCUUCACCAUUUACUAUCUAUUGAACUAAGAUUGGGUUAGCCUGCAAGUAACAUAAUCCAAAUAUCAAUGGCUGCCUUAAACUGUAAAGAGAGGGCUUAUUUUUCUUGUAUAACAUAAGGUCCAGUAGUAACUUGUUUAAUAACUAAAAGAUGUCAGAACAGAGAGGUCUUGAUGGUUCUGGUGGCCUUUGCCUCAUGGAUGUAUGAUGGUUGCCACAGUGCCAGCAAUUGAAUCUAUAGUCUGAAAAAGUGGAAAGUGGUGGGACCGGCCCAGUGGCAUAGUGGUUAAGUUCACGUGCUCCACUUUGGUGGCCCAGAGUUCACGGGUUUGGAUUUCAGGCACAGACCGAUCACGGACCUACAUACCGCUCAUCAAACUGUGCUGUGGCAGCAUCCCACACACAAAGUAGAGGAAGAUGGGCACAGAUGUUAGCUCACUGACAAUCUUCCUCAAGCAAAAAGAGGAAGAUUGGCAACAGAUGUUAGCUCAGGGCCAGUCUUCCUCGCCAAAAAAAUAAAUAAAUAAAAAUGAAAAAGAGGAAAAGUGGCAAAAGGGCCCACAUCAGCUGAGUCAACCUCCCUUUCAUGGGCUUUUCUGGAAGUCCUUUGCAACGUCUUAGCACUAAACACUUCUGUCACAGACACUGUUGGUGCCUGCCCCUCCGUGUCCCCUUGGCACUCGUCAUUUGGGCACCACAGAAUGUCCUUCUACAAACACCUUCCUUUUGCCCCAGGAGCUUGCUCAGGUCACCACACAGACCAGGCCAGAAGUGCAGAGUUAAGGGUACCUGGGAGAAGUCUCAACCAAUGACAGACAGCAGGUGGUGGAUAAAUAGCCCAGGUGGGAAAAGAUGGGGCCUGUUCUACACCAUGUCUCAGAGGUUCCCAGCGGGAUCAAGCCCCAGUUGGCUCCAGCCAUCACUUGCUCACUCACACACUCUGCGUUUGGCAUCUUCUCUUCCUUGUCUCAUUUCCACAAAUCCUUCCUGGGUCACCUUCCAAAUAAAGUGCCAGCUCUUAAACCUCGGACUUAAAGAUUCUGCUUCUGGGAACCCAACCUAAGGCAGCUUGUUGGCCAGACUGCAUCCCGGGGCCACACGGGCUGCAAGAUCCUGGAGAGGGCGCUCCUUGAGACGGAUACGUUACUGCUCCCGUCAACACUGGGGUUCUGUUGACAUGGAGGGGAGAAGGGGUAGCAAUUUGGGUGGGAUCGCACCUAGCAAUCUCUACCAUCCCUAGAUCAGGCCAGCUCCAGGUAGGUGCAGGAUCUCCCACAUUUGCACCAAGGACCCUCCAAGUGCCAUGCAUGCCAAGCAUCCUGCUGGGCACGGGUUCCAGUGGAGGCCAGGGACAGCCUCUGCUCAGGGACUUACAGUCUCGAGGAGGACGGAGACAGACAAACAGCAGCUGUAAUGCAGAUAUGGGCGUUGACCUCUGGGAGCCCUCGAGCGAAGGAGGCUCCACCCUAAGAGCUUUACAUACGUGGUGAUGCUGAACCCUCGAAAGCAGCCUCUGAGACAAGGACUAGUUUUACUUUUUUUGUUCUACAGAUGAACAAACUGAGAAUCAGGGAGGUUGAGUGACUUGCCCAAGAACACACAGCUAAUAAGUGGCAGAGUUCAAACUCAAACUCAGUUUGUACUGAAGAAGCGAUGUCCCAGCUACGCGUGGAAGGGUGAGCAGCAGUGGGACAGAUGGAGAAGAGGGCAAGACAGUUCUAGGCAGAGAACGGCCCAUGCAAAGGCCAGAGACUUGAGAUGCUCCGUAAGGCUGCCCAUGCUGGGGAGCUGCCCAGGCCUCAGCUGAGCAAAGGGAGCGACAGCUUGAAAGGGGCUGCUCCAGCCCCCAGAGCUGGGACCAGGAGCCACCCUCACUCCACUAGGACACCUCCCCACCAUUCUCUCUCGCUCACUGGCUCGCUUUCUCUUACACACACACACAUUCCCUACAUUCUGGCCGCCCCCCCCCCCCCCCCCCGUGCUCACCACCUCACAGGUACCCACUCCAACACACCACCUGCUUGACCUCAGUUUACACCGGUGCCCUGUUACCUCUAGAUCAAGUGCAGAAUUUCCCAUGCUUGUAUUGAGGACCCUCUAAGCACCACUUUCAGAAUCAGAGAGUCAGGGGUUCAAAUCCCAGCUCUGGGUUAGCCCCAAGUAAGUCAGAUAGUCUGUCUCAACCUCAGUUUUCCCAUCUGCAAAACGGGAAUGAAAAUCCCCACUUCACAAGGUUGUAGUGAGGACCUAACGAGAUUGUAUGGGUAAGUUCACAACAUGGUGGCAGGCAUCCAUCGGCCGUUUUCUUUUAUUAUUAUUAUUAAUCAUACGAGCACCCUAGAAUAUCCACCCUUAGCUACUACAUCCUAAUCUUGCAAUGACUGUCCGCGCCCUCGCUCCUGCACCAGCUGUUCUGCACACCUGGAAUGCCUUCCCACUCCUCCCUCUUCCAGCUAUUCCCUGGACCAGGCCUGGGGGCCUUGCCCCUCCAGCUGCUUCUCCUUUGGCUCAGUGAAUUGCAAACUCGGCUGGGUAGUAGAAUCACCGGGGAGCUUUUUAAGACUCCCCCCCCCCCCCCGGGGGCCCGACGCCUAGGCCCCGAAGAGACGGACUACAUCAGAAUUCUGAGCUGGGCACCCUGGGCACCAGGAUGUCCUCAGGCUUCCCCAGGUGAUUUUGAUUUGCAGGCAGGUUUGAGAACCCGCCCUCCGACCUCUUCCUUCUGCGAAGUCCUGUAGUUUGACCUACGUUUACCCUGUGCCUUUCGCUUCUUGAUGGCUGGCUUGUGUGUGUUUGUCUUGUCCCCUGAGCAAAGCCAAGUUCUUGCGAGGAAGCACCACCUAGCUUCCCUCACGACCCCCGGCGAGUGCUGACCUCCUUUCCACACUGUCAAGACGAGUUCGCCAGGAGGCUGGUGCACACACAGCAGGUCAUUUAUCUCCAUCUCUCUUCGCCUCCCCACGGGCCCUUCCUGCUCAGCAGCGGCUGUCACUCGGAUCCCCUAGGAGCCGACCUCUGCCUUUCCACGUGUGGCUCUCGGUGGGGACUCCUCAAAGCAAAUCCAGAGGGCCUGCCCCGCCCUCCAGACAGCCUGUCCCUAACGGCAGGGUCGAGGUCCGCGUGCGCCGCGCGUGCGCAGCCAGCCUGCGCCCCGUCCAUCCACUCCCAGCCCCCUGCGGCGGCCCCUUGGCCUCACCACUGCCCUGCAUCCUCGGGAGGUGCUCGGGGGAAGAGAAACAUGCAGGCUAGGGCAGAAAAUAUUCUCCAAAAUGGCCACAGAAACAUCUCCCACGCCGUGGACUCUUCUACCGUGUAACCUAGCCCCGCGGCCAUCAACCUUGCCCCCAUCCCUCCCCGGACCUGGCCAGACUUUUGUUUCUGCCUCUACCAAUAACAUGACAGAAGGGCCUCUGGAAGCGGGUCCUGAAAGGUGAUUCGGCUUCCUCCUGGGUCUCCCUCCUGGGACACUUGUUUCUAGAACCACUGGCCACAAGGUGAGGGAGCACGGGCCCCAUGGAGAGGCCAUGCGCAGAUGUUCUGGCCGGCAGCCCCGGCGGAGGCCUCAGCCGACCGUAAGAUCGACCGCAGACGUGUGGGUGAAGAACCUCCAGAUGGCUGUGGCCCCAGCCACCGUCCGACUGGACGUCAGGAGCAACCCAGGGGAGAAUGAUUACACCCACCCCCCCAACCCCCGACAGGCCCAGGACCGUGGGAGGGAGUUCUCACAAUGAGAUGAUAGUGGUUUCACACUGUGCAGUUUAAGUGGUUUCCUUUCUAGCAACGGAAAACUGAUCCACUGGUCCUGAAAGAGGGCUCGAGGCUUUGGGGCAGGGAAUUCUGGGGUCCCCAGGGCCCGGAGGCUGGUGCAGAGGAGGGGAUGUGAGCUCUGGGUGGGCACGUGCCCUCGCCUCAGCAGAACCUCCUCAUCCCAGGAAGGAGGGCCGCGGGAGGUGGGCCAGAGCAAGGCCUUCUGCUGCGUGGGGGCCAGUGGGGCCCUGAAUGUCUGGCUCUAAGGGUGACGUUUCCCCCAUGUAUCCACCCCGAAAGUGGCUCCAGGGUGACGGUCCAGACAGAAGGCCUUUGAGCUGAAGUCUCCCUCUUGCUUUCUGCAUGAAGGAAGCAGAGCGCAGGGGUGAACAAGCUGGGCUUUGCAGAGAGAGCAGAGGUACCACCCGAAGCCGUGUUUGACUUGGCUCCCACUGUGUUGUUUUUAGAAAAAGAAUGUGUUGCCAACGUUUAAAAAUUGGAAGACUUCAAAUAAAGACCUGUAGAUGUAUAAAUAUGUAUUUUCCCCCUGAUUAUAGAAACAAACAUGCUAAGAUUUUCUCUUGAAAAUCAGACGAGCUGGCCCCACUAGGUCUGCAUUUCCCUGUGGCAACAACUAGCUAGAACUGAGCAUUAGGUAAGGGGGUCCCUCUCCAGUGUGCCCCAGGCCCCACCACUCCCUAUCGUCUUAAGCUUACCAGGCUUCACUCACUGCAUUAAAUGCCUGGUCCCCGUCAGCAUUUGAUUUUAGAAUUCCCAAGGCUCGUUGACUCAGCUGGCCAUCCAGGCCCAUCGCUUACUAGCUGUGUGACCUUGGGCAUGCCACUGACUUUGCCUCUGUUUUCUAGCCUUUAAAACUAUAAUGCACCUGCCUUGAAGCACUCGGAUGAGAACUAAGAUGAAAAUGCAUAGGGAAGACUUAUCCCAGCCUUUGGCAUAUAGUAAGUACUUUGUAAAUAAUUGCUAUUGUUAUCAGUAUAGUUAUUUUUGCUAUUUGAGGACUUGGGUCUAAUUUCCUGCCUGCCAUCCCCCAUGACUCCCGUUCAGCCCACAUAAGCUGUCUCCAACCCCCGACUCUGCAGAUCCAUCCCCCGUGCCCAGGAGAACCACAGGGUUGGGGAGCGGCCCUGGGCUGCAGCCUUGCCAUCAAAUGUAAAUAUUAGUGUUGGCCCAGCCCAGGAGUGCUGGAUGCAGAGGAGUGAGUGUGCUGGAGCCCCAAGCGGCAUGUCUGCCAGGAGCUGCCAGGCAGAGGGACCACCCCAGCUGGCUCCAGCUCUGGGUUGUAUCAGAGUUUGGGGAGAACUCAGUUGGCAUCAUGUGUACCCCGAGCUGUGCCCCAAGACAAAGAGAUGAUGCUGGGGCCCUGGGUCCUGGCUUUGGCAGUGAUCAUUCCAGAGAGGGUAACAGAAGAGCAAAGACUGCAGAAGAGCAAGUCCAGUAGGGAGGCACUUGGCUUCUGCAAUUCCAGCUGAGUGACUCGCUUCAGCUGCAAUUAUCUGGUUACUUUAGGCAAAAGCGAACCAAAAGCCAAGGGCUUCAGAUCAGGCUGCUGACCACAGCCAGAGUCCCACCCUGGCCACUUAAAGCUGUUGAGUGUGGACAGGGAGGUUACCGUAAGACCUGGGACUCCAAGAGACUCCACGUUUUCUUAUCUUCUCUAUCCACAGCAUGACUUGGGCAAAUUUCCAGAGUCCUGGGCCAUCUAGAGAGGCGGUAGUUACAGGCAUGGGUGUCUUUGGGGUCAGUCAGGCCUGGGUUUGCAUCCUGGCUCUCCCACUUAUUAGCUGUGUGAUCUUGGGCAAGUUUCUUCACUUCUCUGUGCCUCAGUUUACUCAUCUAUAAAAUGGUGACAGCACCUGCCUUGUAGGAAGAGACUGUGCUGGCCCGGAGGUGAAUGUUGGUAUACGAAUUGGGCAAGGCUUUGUGCUCAGCACCUCCUAAAUCACUGAUCGGCCUGUGGACCACCAGCCCUGUGCCCACACUCAUUCACUCAAUGGCCACCUCCUAUGCCAUCAUGGCUGCCACACCACAUGCCUACAAUGGAACACUCUGCAACAGUUUAAAAAUGAAUGAGGCCUUCCUCUAAUGCCUGAUACAGAAAGAUGCAGUGGUUCUCUCCAGCCAGACAUCCAGGACAGUACCGUUUUCUCAGCUCAUCUCUUCCCUGCAGGCGAGCAGUUGCCACAAGCUGAUGCACAGGUGCGCAUCCUCUCUGCUGGGCCUGAAGACCCCGAUGGCUCCAACCCACUACGUGAAGCCACCUCCCCCUCCCCCGCCCCAACUCUGACAACGGCAUCUAUGUUUCUUCAUGGAAAAACCUUCUCGACUCAAUUCACUGCCAAGCCAGGCGAGCGCUCCAACUCGACAGAAUUAUCAGCACUGAGCUAACAGAGACAGAUGAACCGAGAGGCGAGUGGGGACAGCGAGCAAACAGAUCUAUUUCCCAGCUCCGAGAUCCGGUCUGGGCUUCCCCCCAACAAAAGACGAACUUCUCUGCGGAGGUGUCCACGGAGCCCCUGUGUUAAGUCAAUUUUCCUCCCCUUGGCCUUCCAUGAGUGGCUGAGGAAGGAGGUGGGGGGCCCAGGUGGCGAACCCCAACACUGGCCCUGAGCAUCUUCUCACCCAGGGAGGCUUUCCCGCCAUCCCAUCUAAGAGGCCGCUGGAGGACCAGGGGGAAAAAAGAGUUUGAAAAAUGCAGUUCUUUGGUGAAAAGAUUGGCUGUCUGAGGGCUGAAUGGAAAACAGUCAACUUCAAUCCGAUGGGAAAUUCUUCUUUCCCCGGGCUUUCUAUCUUACGAGUUUUCACAGCCAAUCUUAAGCCCCUGGCAGCCCCCUGGGGAUUGGAGCUGCUUGUAGGGGGGCUGUGGGUCCUGCUUGGAAAAGGCUCCCAAGAUGAUAAAACGGCGGGGCUCUCAAGUCAAUGAUCUGUGGCCGCAGACAGGCCAGGUGGUGCCCACACACAUGCUGCUAUGGGGGCUGUUGACCCCUGGGGCUGUUGCUUCCAGUGGAGGGGCAGCGCAGCUCCGGAGUCUUCCUAGUCCCCCAGGGGCACCCUGUGUGACCUGCUAAGUGAUUUCACGCCUCAAUGCCUGGACAGCCCCAUCUAUCACAUGGGACAGGGCGCACACCGUCUCUUACCACACGGGAGUCGGUCUAAAGAUCAUUGUUCACAUGUUUCGAGCUGGAGUGUUCCAGUAGCCCAGCACCUGGAAUUAGGACACUGGGUCAAAGGGCAUGUCAUUAAACAUUUUGAUAGAUACUAAAAGCUCUCCCAGUUUUCGCUCCUGUGUCAGGCAACUUUUACUGUGUAACAACUUGGAAAUUUCAGCUGCACAGAACCAGCAUUUGUUUUCUGGCUCACUUGCCUGCAGUUCAGCAGGCGGGGCUGAUCCAGGCUGGGCAUGGCUGGGCUGAGCUCCAGGCCUUGUCUCCUGUCCUCCUGGGACCUGUAGCUCCCUGGGUAAUGUUGUUCUCCUGGUGAUAGCCAAAGCACAAGAGGGACAAGCAGAAACAUUCCAGGCCCCUGAAGGCCUAGGCACAGAACUGGCCACCAUCACGCCUGCCCCCAUUCCAUUGGGCAGAGCCAGUCCUGUGGCCAAGCCCGGUGUCAGUGGGGCAGGGAGGCCUACACCUCCCGUGAAGUUUGGAGUAGGGGUGGAGUGAAUGCUUACAGAUGGGUAAUGCAGUCUACACAACCCCUGUCAUGUGUGUGCGUGUCUGCUUAUGCUCACACUCGUGCACAAAGAGGUAUGUGCAAGAAUGUUCACUGCAACACAGUGUGUGCUGUUGAAACCUGAAGAAAAAACCCCAAAUACGGUAGUCCCUCUGUAUUCGAGGGAUUGGGUCCAGGGCUCCCUGGAUACCCAAAUCUGGGAUGCUCAAGUCUCCCAUACAAAAUGUCAUAGUAUUUGCAUAUAAUCUAUGCCCCUCCUCCCAUAUAUUUUAAAUCAUCUCUAGAUUAUUUAUAAUACCUAAUACAAUGUAAAUGCUAUGUAAAUAGUUGUUCCAUUGUAUUGUUUAGAGAAUAAUGACGAGAAAAAAAAGUCUAUACACGUUCAGUACAAAUGCAGUCAUUAUAGGCUUUCCCAUCCGUUUUGGCUGAAUUCACGGCUGCAGAACCGGGGAUAUGGAGGGCAGACUAUAGCCAUCAACAGGGAGCCGUUAAAUAAACCACACCACACGGGGUACCGUGGAAUACUACACAGCAGUUAAAGAGGAGUGGGGCCUAUCUCCAUUAACAGAUACAGAAAGAGUCCCAUAGGCACUGUCAGUGAGAAAAGUCACAGAAUAAUAUAUUCAAUAGGAUCUCUUUUAGGGGGAAAACCACCCAUGGGAGGGGGGAAGGGUACACACAGAAGGUAGACUGGGAGGAAGGGAGGAAGACCAUAGGCAAUUUUACCUACGGGAAAAACUUCUGAAUUAUUUUAAUCUUUUACAAACGGAAUGUGUUUAUACUUUAUACAUGAUUUUUUUUUUUAAUUAGAAUGCCGGAAGCAAAAAUAAGAAAAUACCCAUUGUUAGGGAUUUGCGACCUUAUUAGAUGUAAACAUUCUAGGAACUCAGGAAUCCUUGGAUUCUGCCAAACCACAGCCACUCUCUCUCCCUCUGCCAUACACACUUCUGUCCAAGAAGGGCCCUUUGGAAGGCAAACUCACGUGAGAGACCAGGAAGGAAAACUCAAAGUGGCCCUUUCCUUGUGAGCUGGGCUGGUACCCAGGCCUCGCACUGGGUACAGAGGUGGGGCUGGGAGCAAAGAAACUUACUCUUCUGUUCUGAACAUCAUUAACGUUU
rnacentral:lncRNA from 1 species